AUUGAACGCUGGCGGCAGGCCUAACACAUGCAAGUCGAGCGGAUGAAGGGAGCUUGCUCCUGGAUUCAGCGGCGGACGGGUGAGUAAUGCCUAUGAAUCUGCCUGGUAGUGGGGGAUAACGUCCGGAAACGGGCGCUAAUACCGCAUACGUCCUGAGGGAGAAAGUGGGGGAUCUUCGGACCUCACGCUAUCAGAUGAGCCUAGGUCGGAUUAGCUAGUUGGUGGGGUAAAGGCCUACCAAGGCGACGAUCCGUAACUGGUCUGAGAGGAUGAUCAGUCACACUGGAACUGAGACACGGUCAAGACUCCUACGGGAGGCAGCAGUGGGGAAUAUUGGACAAUGGGCGAAAGCCUGAUCCAGCCAUGCCGCGUGUGUGAAGAAGGUCUUCGGAUUGUAAAGCACUUUAAGUUGGGAGGAAGGGCAGUAAGUUAAUACCUUGCUGUUUUGACGUUACCAACAGAAUAAGCACCGGCUAACUUCGUG
rnacentral:rRNA from 1 species